rnacentral:lncRNA from 1 species
GUCUCAUCAAAUUCUGUCAUAUUUACAACGAUGCGUGAACAAAACAGACAUAAUAGGUAAAAUUGUCAAAAUAUGGGUACAACAGUCUAAUAUUAAUACUAAUCGGUACUAAUAUUGAUAUAACAAAAACACCGCUAUGAUAUUUUAAAAGUAUCGCAUUGAUAUUUUAAAAGUAUCGCAUUGUUUAUUUAUGUAUAUAAGAAAAACACAGCACUUCAAAUUUAACACUGACAUAAACUUAAGCUUCUAACUAACUUCUGC